rnacentral:lncRNA from 1 species
AUUUGAAUGAUGUAAAUGUAUUCUCUCUGAAAAAUUAAAGAAGAAAGGUAUGAUGCCAAAAUGAUUUGGUCAUAGUGUUGCUACCCUUAAGUUCACUUGAGUGUCUCAGCUUCUCUAGGUGGCUGGGAUAUAAUGAAUUAGAAUAACCAAUCACAAGAGAUCUCUUUUGUCUAGAGCAUCUUAACUAGCUUUUUAUUGUUUUAUUUUUGAUUAUCACUACAAAUAUUUCAAAUAGAUACUGAAAAACAUAGUCAAAGGAGCCACUUUCUCCCUCUCCCCUACCCUCAGUAAUCAUUUUGGAGUCCUCGGUACUCCUUCCUUGGUAUUCUUUCCCUAUCUGCUAAUCCCCACUAUUUGGAAGGCAAAUAGUGCCUCUCUGGUUAUGUUAGAGGUUGAAACUCCCUAGUUUGAAAGCAUGAAAUAUAAAGUUCUUAAAAAUCUGAAACUUUCUGAGUGUCACUGUGAUGUCAUGAGUGGAAAAUUCCACUGAUGUCAUGUGACAAGCAACCAAAUGCAGAGGCACUAAGAGUUUGUAAAGUUUCCUUCAAGCUAUGGCCACAGGAGUAUAUAAAAUACAAGUGAAGCCCAAGAAAGCUUUUGUUCUGAAAUCCUGUCCAAAAAAUACAUGAAUCUUGUGUUUAGAAUACAGCACCAUCCCCAUCACAUUUUGUUGUGUGUAUGCAAGUGUUAAGCAUUUUGGAUAAGGGACACAAAUCUAUAUUUAGAAUUACUACUCUGGCCUGUACAGUCUCACUCUGGUUCCAGACAUACAAGUAGGUUGAUGCUUGAGGUGGUAAAAGCUCCCUCCUCUUUUAAAUGGAAAUUGGCCUGUUUCAUUAAGCUCAUAUGAUUUGAUAUAAAUUUUUAAAAUUUCAUAAAAUACACAGAACGAGCAGCCUUGCCCAGUUUUAAGUGUACAGUUCAGUGAUGUGAAGUUUUGUGCCUCUAAUCUCUAGAACCUUCUGACCCUAUAAAGCCAAAACACUGCAUCCAUUGAAUAACCCCCUGUUCUGUACCCCAGCCCCUGGCAGCCAAAAUUCUGCUUUUUGUCCAUUUGUAGGUACCUCACACAGAGCGAUCAUAGUAGGUAGGCUUUGUCUUUGUGUGCUGGGCUUACUUAAUUUAGUAGAAUAUCCUCUAGGUUCAUCUUUGCUGUAGCACGUGACUGGAUGUGCUUUGAUUUUUAAGGACGGGUAAUAUUUUAUGAAUACUCAGUUUAUGCGCAUCUUCCAUAGGUUGUAUGGAUAAAAGAAUUCCAUGCAUCCCAAUGAGAAUGCAUUAGCAUGAUAGGAUCCACUAGUGACAAUAACAACUGAGCUGUUUGAGAAACUAUUUUUUCUUUUAGAUAUGGUGUUGUUCUAUAAGUCUGGAUGGCCUGGAACUCCCCUUGUAGACCAGACUGUUCCCAAACUUAUGCCAACCCUUCUGCUUCAGCCUCCCAAGUACUGGGAUUAGAGGCCUAUACCAGCAUGCCUGGCCAGAUCGAAAAUAUUUGUGCUAAAUAUUUCAAUUUAGACCAAAAGACCUCAUUUUUUUCCUUCCUUUGAUCAAAGAUACCCUUUUCUCUCAAAGCUCUGUAUUGACUUUUGUCUCUCACUACAUGAGGCUAUGGAUUUAGAGAGAUGGGGCAAACCUACCUUUGUUAUCUGUGCAGUGCUUAGUGUGGAGAUCAUGCUCAGUAAAUGGUUGUUAUAGGAACAGGGUUGCAUUGAUUGGACAAAGGUAUGUAACUGUGUCUGUGUGUUGAACCAGAUGCAGUUUUAGGCUCCUUUUGGUCCCAGUCUUGUUUUCGUCCAUUAUUAAAUCUGAUGAUGAACAUUUCAGACUCUCUUGAAGAUGGAUUUGAGGGAUGAGGCACAGACAUCUAAAGAGACAUCUUUUCAGUGUGCCUCAACUUGUUCCACAGAAGGGGUCAUUCACAAAUAGAACUGUUUCAGAAUAUAGUAUUUCUCAGCAGUUUGGAUUUUUGUACUUCCUCUUUAUGAGAUGGUAAUAUUUUUUGUGUAAUAGCAAAGUUGCCAUCUAAAAAUUAUCUAUAGCAUAGUUCAAUUGUGCACCACAUCUCUUAGGUACAGAGAGCUAGAGAACAAACUUCCUCUUGACAUCAUCAUCAUCAUCACCACAAAGGAUUCUAGUGAAAGACCUCACACGAUGAAGUGUCAAAAGUAUAAUAAACAGCUGGGAAAAAUGAGGAUUCUGGAAUAAGACAUUGAAAUGCAGGUUAGAAAGCAUUGGAGGAGAUUGGAUCUGGGUUUUAAAUCUCGUUGAUUUGCUGAACUUUGUGCCAGUUUGUACAUUUUUAUUUUGAGCCUAGUUUCCAAAAGUCUCCUGUUAGCAACCAGAUGGUUGUCAAAUAAUUGAUCUGGGUUCAUUUUAAAUCCAUUUGGGGAACAUAGUGGCCUGGAUUUUCCAGUAGAAGGAUUUAUUAAUCCUGCUGGCUUUUGAAUGCCAAUACUCUUGGAAAUUGAGUUCCCUAAUGUCUUGGAAGUAACCCCUGGAAAAUUGGAAACAGUGAAUUGGUUGCAUGAUGUACUUGGAAUAGAAAACCUAAAGCCAUGGAUACAGUUUAUGUAAAUUAUAAAUGUCCAGCCUCAGACAUAGUUCAAUUAGAUGACAGUUUUGUUCAGUUUAAGGUGUGCAAAAUUUGCACAUAUUUGUUUUUAAGGUGAAUUACUGCAGUAACACCAGGCCCUGAAAACACAUGGAUCCGAUUUUAGUCCUCAUUUCUCAUAAACUAGUUCAAAACUGUAGAAUCUGACAUUCUAUGUCAUUGGUGUUUUUUGGUGAAAAACAAUCUUUUUAAAAUGCAGCCCUUUUUUUUUUAAACUGGGGAAAUCUGCCCUGCCUUUUGGAGGGUGCUGGCAGCACAGCAUGCUGGGCUGUUGAAAACAAUUAAGAAGACUGAGAUCAGUGUGAGAGAGCCUCAUGUGCUAGUGAGGCACCCCUGACAAUAUGGCUGCUAGAACGGUGACAAGACAGUGGCAAAGAACAGCUGUGCCGUGGAAAGGCAUUCUUUCAGAUGGCCCUCAAAUUGGUAUUUUAUAGAAUGUCUAAGUGUCUCCAGGAAAAUUCUAUUUUGAAAAACAUUCUGUAGCUUCUCUGCUUUGGCAUUUUUUAAAAUAUUACUAUUUUUAAAAUGUAGGUGUAUGUUCAUGUGUUUGUGGAUUCACAUGUUUGUGGAUCCACAUUCAUGUCUGUAUAUGUAUGUGCAGGAAGCAGAGGACAAGCCCUAGAGGUCAUUGCUCAGCUGCUGCCCACCAUGUCUUUUGUUUUAGGCAGGGUCUCUCACUGACCCAGAACUGAGCAAUUAGGCUAGGCUAACUGGUCAGAGACCUCAGGGAUCCACUUGUCUCUGCUUCCCCAGCAUCAUGGUUCCAAGAGAGCAUACCGCGAUGCUUGGCUUUUUGCUUUUUAACUAUGGCUUCUGGAAAACUCAAGUCCUGUCCUCGAGCUUAUGCAACAAGCACUCUGCUGACUGAGCUCUUUCUCCCAGCCCUGGUGUGUUUUUCAGGACCCAGGCUUGCUGUGUUGCUCAGAUAGGUUUUAUAUUUCUGAACUUGACUGAUCCUUCUACCUCCUCAGCUACUGUGUCUACAGAGUGUGUACCACUGGGCACAGGGUUGAAGUGGAGCUCUCUGUUUGAUGCCUGCUUGUGUCAAGUUUUCUUUUUUUCUUUUCUUUUCUUUUUUUUUCCUUUUCACUCCCACCAUCGUGGCUAUUGAAUCACUGGCCGAUGAGGGGUGUGACCUGAAAUCUGAGUGGAGAUUUCAGUGGGGUUAUAUGGAAGGGUGGUUUUGUUUCCUCGACCUGCCACAAUAAAUUCUAUAAGCUGGGAAGCUAAACCCAACAGAAGUCUUACAGGUCCAGAGGGUGGAAGUCCCAAACCAAGUUGUCUUCUGAAUGUUCUAGGGAACUGCUCCUGGAUGCUCCAAGAAUGCAGAUUCAUUUUCAUCAACCUGACACAAACCUAGAUGUCAUCUAGGAAGAGGAAAUCUCAACUGAGGAAUUGUCUCCAUCAGUCUGGCCCCCCCCCCUCUCUCUCUCUCUCUGUGUGUGUGUGUGUGUGUGUGUGUGUAGAAAUUUUCUUGAUUGAUGAUAGAUGUGGAAGGGCCCAGUACAUUGUGGUCAGUGCCACCCCUGAGAGGUAGGUGGGUUCUUGGUUCUAUAAGAAAGUAGGUGGACCUGGGCACUAGAACACAGGUAGCCGAGGAAGUCAGUAAGCAGCAUCCCUCUAUAUGGUCUCUGCUUUAGCUCAUGCCUCUAGAUUCCUGCCUUGAGUUCUUAUCCUACCUUUCUCUCAGUAUUGGACUAGAACCUGUAAGUUGAAACAAACUCUUUUCUCUCCUGGUUGGUUUUGGUCAGUGUUUUAUCACAGCAAUAGAAAAACAAACAAAC